rnacentral:lncRNA from 1 species
AACAUAUAAACAACGGUCUAAGAAAUACGUGUAACUACACUAACAUUUGGGAUAUUUGAGAUACUUGUCAUGAAUAGUUUCUCCCAUCAACAUAUCAUUGCAACUUAGCGCAAUUCAUUUUCUUUUCUCCGGAAAAAGGUCAAUCUUAUUUCUUCUGGCCUGUCUGCUCUAUGGAUCUUGGUGUUGUAGGCAGAUGGACACAUCUCAGUUCAGAGCAUGUUUGUAAGCAAAAAAUUAUACCUAAUGAUAUAAUUUACAUAAACCUAAUGCUCAGGCAUAUUAUCAAUUGAUGGCGAAUGUGCAUUACAAGUUGAAGUUUCUUGUUCCAACGGAUCCCAGUUAUUGGUUUUUGUCAUCCAACAGUUUAAUGUCAUAUCAACCAAGGUUUGUGCUCUACUUAUGGAGGUAGCCAGUAGAAACUAUUUGUGCAUACAAGUGUUUUCCAAGCUAUAACAUUUUAAUUUAUGUUCCAUUUUCAUCCAUCUACACAUUUUAAUUUCUGUGUGCAGAAAGAAAUACCUUGAUCACAAUGCUCGGCGUAGAAAAAGUCAUCAUCAUGUAGGUUGACAUUGACAUACUGUUCAUCCAAAUACUUCAGGCGCUGGACAAGCAUAUUGAACCAAGAUCUUCACUUGAUACCGGAGCAGCAAGCAUAUCUAAGAGAACAGCACAGCAUAAUAUAAGUCAUUAAAAUAUGGCCAAAAGGUAACUCAUGUGAGUCUAACCUCUUUAGCUAACAAAAGCUAUUGUUCUACAGGGAAGAAAAUAAGUCUACAUAUAUGUGAGUCUCACCUCUUUACCUAAGAUUUCAUUGUUUUUUAUCAUGUUAUGCCAUAUAUCUUACAACCCCUUUGUUCUCUGCAACAAAGUAUCAUAAACAUUGUUAUAACAAAAAGGAUGAAGUAUUCCUUCUUUACUAACUGAUUUUUUUUCCAACGGAGAUUUACACUAAAAUAAUUGUACAUCGUAAGACCUUCUUCACCACUGAAUUUUACUUAACUCGACAUAUCUGAAUUUUAAACGGAAAAAUUUCAAAAGCAGGGAUCUCUGCCAAUGGGGACACGCAUACUCCCCUGCACCUUAC